rnacentral:rRNA from 1 species
UACGUAGGGUGCGAGCGUUAAUCGGAAUUACUGGGCGUAAAGCGUGCGCAGGUGGUCUUGUAAGCCAGAUGUGAAAGCCCCGGGCUUAACCUGGGAACUGCAUUUGGGACUGCAAGGCUGGAGUACGGCAGAGGGAGGUGGAAUUCCACGUGUAGCAGUGAAAUGCGUAGAGAUGUGGAGGAACACCGAUGGCGAAGGCAGCCUCCUGGGCUAGUACUGACGCUCAUGCACGAAAGCGUGGGGAGCAAACAGG